rnacentral:rRNA from 1 species
GAUGAACGCUGGCGGCGUGCCUAAUACAUGCAAGUCGAGCGAACGGACGAGAAGCUUGCUUUUCUGAUGUUAGCGGCGGACGGGUGAGUAACACGUGGAUAACCUACCUAUAAGACUGGGAUAACUUCGGGAAACCGGAGCUAAUACCGGAUAAUAUUUUGAACCGCAUAGUUCAUAAGUGAAAGACGGUCUUGCUGUCACUUAUAGAUGGAUCCGCGCUGCAUUAGCUAGUUGGUAAGGUAACGGCUUACCAAGGCAACGAUGCAUAGCCGACCUGAGAGGGUGAUCGGCCACACUGGAACUGAGACACGGUCCAGACUCCUACGGGAGGCAGCAGUAGGGAAUCUUCCGCAAUGGGCGAAAGCCUGACGGAGCAACGCCGCGUGAGUGAUGAAGGUCUUCGGAUCGUAAAACUCUGUUAUUAGGGAAGAACAUAUGUGUAAGUAACUGUGCACAUCUUGACGGUACCUAAUCAGAAAGCCACGGCUAACUACGUG